AAACGCCUUCUCACUUAAUGGUUUUAGACGGGGAUCCCCAGCCCCGGCAAAUACGUAAGAGGAUUUUUAUUUGUGCAUGUGUUCCUGCAAUUGAUCUCUUUGAUGACAUCCUCAUUCAUAGAAAGAGUUUGAUUUAUGACUUUCGGAAGAAUCGCGUUCAGC
rfam:Chlamydotis undulata macqueenii contig5268, whole genome shotgun sequence.